GCGGGUAUAGCUUAGUGGUAGAGCGCAGUGCUUAGCAUGCACGAGGUCGUGGGUUCAAUCCCUGGUACCUCCA
rnacentral:tRNA from 1 species